rnacentral:tRNA from 1 species
GGGGGUAUAGCUCCCGUGGUAGAGUGUGUGCUUAGCAUGCAUGAGGUCCUGGGUUCAAACCCCUGUACCUCCG